rnacentral:rRNA from 1 species
CGGCGAACGGGUGAGUAACACGUGGGUGAUCUGCCUCGCACUCUGGGAUAAGCCUGGGAAACUGGGUCUAAUACCGGAUAUGACCACGGAUCGCAUGGUUUGUGGUGGAAAGAUUUAUCGGUGCGAGAUGGGCCCGCGGCCUAUCAGCUUGUUGGUGGGGUAAUGGCCUACCAAGGCGACGACGGGUAGCCGACCUGAGAGGGUGACCGGCCACACUGGGACUGAGACACGGCCCAGACUCCUACGGGAGGCAGCAGUGGGGAAUAUUGCACAAUGGGCGAAAGCCUGAUGCAGCGACGCCGCGUGAGGGAUGACGGCCUUCGGGUUGUAAACCUCUUUCGACAGGGACGAAGCGCAAGUGACGGUACCUGUAGAAGAAGCACCGGCCAACUACGUGCCAGCAGCCGCGGUAAUACGUAGGGUGCGAGCGUUGUCCGGAAUUACUGGGCGUAAAGAGCUUGUAGGCGGUUCGUCGCGUCGAUUGUGAAAACUUGCAGCUCAACUGCAAGCUUGCAGUCGAUACGGGCGGACUAGAGUACUUCAGGGGAGACUGGAAUUCCUGGUGUAGCGGUGAAAUGCGCAGAUAUCAGGAGGAACACCGGUGGCGAAGGCGGGUCUCUGGGAAGUAACUGACGCUGAGAAGCGAAAGCGUGGGUAGCGAACAGGAUUAGAUACCCUGGUAGUCCACGC